rnacentral:rRNA from 1 species
UACGGGGGGGGCAAGCGUUGUUCGGAAUUACUGGGCGUAAAGGGCUUGUAGGUGGCCAACUAAGUCAGACGUGAAAUCCCUCGGCUUAACCGGGGAACUGCGUCUGAUACUGGAUGGCUAGAGUGUGGGAGAGGGAUGCGGAAUUCCUGGUGUAGCGGUGAAAUGCGCAGAUAUCAGGAAGAACACCAAUGGCGAAAGCAGCUCUCUGGGACGGUACUGACGCUGAGACGCGAAAGCGUGGGGAGCGAACAGG